rnacentral:rRNA from 1 species
AGCAGCCGCGGUAAUUCCAGCUCCAAUAGCGUAUAUUAAAGUUGUUGCAGUUAAAAAGCUCGUAGUUGAAUUUCGGGGUCUGUCCGUCGGUCGGGCUUCACGGUCCGUACUGGUGUGAUGGGUUCCUACCUUCUGAAUAACCGGCAUGCCAUUCAGUUGGUGCGCCGGGGAAGCAGAGCUAUUACCUUGAAAAAAUUAGAGUGCUUAAAGCAGGCUAGUGCUUGAAUAGAUUAGCAUGGAAUAAUAAAAUAGGACGGCAUGGUUCUAUUUUGUUGGUUUCUAGGAUCACCGUAAUGAUUAAUAGGGAUAGUUGGGGGCAUUAGUAUUCAAUUGUCAGAGGUGAAAUUCUUGGAUUUAUUGAAGACUAACUUCUGCGAAAGCAUUUGCCAAGGAUGUUUUCAUUAAUCAAGAACGAAAGUUAGGGGAUCGAAGACGAUCAGAUACCGUCGU